GGCUUACAGUGCCACGAAGCAUUCCUCUUUCUCACUCUUGCGAACCAGUUUCCCUCCAAUAUUUCUCACCCUCGCUCUCUCUUCCCUUCUCUUUGCCCUCACUCUUCUUCCUCCGAACCCCUAUUUCCCUCUGCUAUCGACGGUUGCGGCGACGGCGUUUGUGGCGGCUGCGGCCACACUGUUCCCUUCCCCGAUGAACAUGCCUCGUUGCCCACUAGAAACCUAUGUCGCAGCGGUGAUCUAGGCCCCACAGAUCGAAGGAACUCGCCGUUUCUCGAUUCCACUAUACGAGCACGAUUGAGUGUUCCAUCAAACCCUAAUUCCCCUUUCAAUUCCUAUUUCUGCGCCCACUCUGCUUCUUAUUGUUUCUUCUUACUAUUGAUUGUUGUGAAUUUAACUGCUGAAUUUGUUUGAUUUGAAUAAUGUUUCUUCUUCAUCCUCAUUGCUAAUUCCUCUAACUUUUUGUUUUGUAAGAUUGCACUAAGAUUUUGGCUCAGGAUGGAAAAUCAGUCAGUGUAGACAUGGUACUCUCGAUCUAAAUGUGUGUGAGUGUACAAUUUCAUGCUUCAUUGCUCUAAUUGAUUUACUUGUGCCCCAUGCAACCUCUUUUUGUAGUAGUUAUUUGAAUACUGGAAGGGUCCUUACUUUGAAGUUGAUGGGAACCUCUCUUGUUUGAUAACAUUGUAUUGGAUGAUUUAGAUUUUCCAUUGUUCGUAAAUAUGUGGAGUGAAAUUGUUUGCCUCAUUUUUCUUGUGUAUUUUAACUGCAAACUCUUCAUCCUCUGCUGAUGGCCAUUGGGAUUGUCCUCUUAAGUGGUGAAGGUAGAACUAGUUUGAGCUGAUUUAGUUCAUGCUUUCUUAUUAUUAGUUUGUGUCUUCUUAUUAACAAUGGUAUAUACCAGUUUUGCAACUAGGGGAUGCAGUUUUAUUAUUAGUUUAUGUUACAUACCACUAGCCUUCAGGGUUAUAACUUAUAACCAUCAUUUUUUAUGGUUUUCUUCUAAUUAGUUACAUUUUGUAAGUACCUUAGGUAUUGGCAAAUGAAGCCAGAAACAGAGCUUGGAGGUGGUCUAAAUGAGGAUUCUUCAACCUCACCUUUACCCAGAGUUUUUAAGGAACUGUGUUUGCCUACGGUGUGACAAGUAGUGGAAAGACACAUUUCCAAAUCAACCUAUGAGGUUGUUAAGAGUAUUCAAGGUUGAGCUGAUUUUGUUGGAUUCAAUCCUUUAGAUCUUUUUUUCUCUGUCAUAAGAGUUGAAUUAUGGAACAAGAAUGUCAAGACUUGCCUCCCUAACUGCAGAGUAGAAACACUUAAUAGUGAAGAGGCUCAGAAUCUUUUACCUGGUGUGUGUUUACCAUUCAACUCACGUUUCUAUAUGCCCAAAGCUCUUAACAUCCGUUCUCAACACUAUCUUCAGGCACUUUUCCUAGCAUGUGAGAAUUUGGUGAAAGAAUCCUCCACCCUUGACUCGGGUCAGAAACAGCUCAAUUUACACAAAAGAGCUGUCCAUAGACUUUCCGAGUUUGAAGAGAUCUAGGCAGUCAAGGUUUGAAAGUUCUCAUAAGCAAUCAGAUUAGUCUUUUGUCAGACUUGGUAAGCCUGCCUUUUGGCUUCAUGAGUGGAUCAGAACAUGCAUGAGCCAACACAAUUUAUUCCUAUAAAUGUUCUCUCAUCUUCGUUCCCAAGAAAGAAAGUAAGAAACAGUGCCACUCCCAAAGUCUCUGCUUACUCACGAUUCUCAAGAAGUUUAGCUCAAGCCAAAUCACAAUUCAGAAUCUGUUGCAAUUUCAGUUUGGCUGGAACUUAGCUCAGAACCGAGGUCUGCUUUCUGUUUGGAUGGCCACAAUUUGGUCACUUUGGUUGGCGACAAACGAGGUGAUUUUUAGAGGGGGAACUCUGGAUGAUUCAACAGUGUUAGAGCUGAUCAAGUGGAGAUCUUGGUUUUGGAAUAAAUCAAGUUUAAAUGAAUUCGGGAACUCUCUGUUUGAGUGGUAUAAUAUUCUUGCAUUCAAGGGCUCUAAAUUUGGCAGUGGGGAUUAUGGUUACGCUUUGCUAUAGGUGUGGGCUUGGAGUUCCUCUUCAAAAUUACUUAUAUUGUAAUUAAUCAUUCAAGUUGGAUUGUACCUUUGGUGGGGGUAGCUUUAGGUGGUUGGGCUUCAUGCUGUUAGCAUGUUCUUCCCUUUAUCAUGUAUCUUCUAUUUUCUCUUGGUUGUAGUCUUCUGGCUACUCUACCUCUCUCUCUUUUGUAUUUGAGUUUAGCACCCCUUGUGCUAAAAUUGUAUACAUUUUGGCUUAUCUAAAAAAAAAAAAUUAAGAGUGUUUUUUAUUA